rnacentral:rRNA from 1 species
AACAUGACUCUCGGCAACGGAUAUCUCGGCUCCCGCAUCGAUGAAGAACGUAGCGAAAUGCGAUACCUGGUGUGAAUUGCAGAAUCCCGUGAACCAUCGAGUCUUUGAACGCAAGUUGCGCCCGAGGCCAUCCGGUCGAGGGCACGCCUGCCUGGGCGUCACGC